rnacentral:rRNA from 1 species
CGACUCGGGGAGGUAGUGACAAGAAAUAACGGUACGGGGUCUUUAUAGGUCUCGCAAUUGGAAUGAGUACAAUUUAAAUCCUUUAACGAGGAUCAAUUGGAGGGCAAGUCUGGUGCCAGCAGCCGCGGUAAUUCCAGCUCCAAUAGCGUAUAUUAAAGUUGUUGCAGUUAAAAAGCUCGUAGUUGGAUUUCGGGACGGGUCAGUUGGUCCACCGAAAGGUGUGUUACUGACUGGUCUGUUCUUCUUCGCGAAGACUACGCGUGCCCUUUAUUGUGUGUGCGUAGGAUUUACGACGUUUACUUUGAAAAAAUUAGAGUGUUCAAAGCAGGCUAUCGCUUGAAUACAUGAGCAUGGAAUAAUGGAAUAGGACUUUGGUCCUAUUUUGUUGGUUUCUAGGACCGAAGUAAUGAUUAAGAGGGACAAUUGGGGGCAUCCGUAUUUCGUUGUCAGAGGUGAAAUUCUUGGAUUUACGAAAGGCGAACAACUGCGAAAGCACUUGCCAAGAGUGUUUUCAUUAAUCAAGAACGAAAGUUAGAGGAUCGAAGACGAUCAGAUACCGUCCUAGUUCUAACCAUAAACGAUGUCGACUAGGGAUCAGCGGGUUUCAUUUUACGACUCCGUUGGCACCUUACGGGAAACCAAAGUUUUUGGAUUCCGGGGGAAGUAUGGUUGCAAAGCUGAAACUUAAAGGAAUUGACGGAAGGGCACCACCAGGAGUGGAGCCUG